AAUCUUUUUUUUGCAGAGAGCAGAGCAAAGUCCCCUGUGGGAUGCUUCCACUUGGAAUGCAGGAAGGUUCUCUUAGAAGCAGAGUUCUAAAGUGAGCCAGCUCUGGAGGCAGAGGGAAGCUCAGCCAGUGCUGCUUGCUUCAACUGCCACUCCCAGCAAUUGCGUGCAACAACCUCUUUGGCACCAAUAAUCUGAACACCUGAGUAGUCAGAGAGGGCUGCAGUGUGCCAAUUCCAGAGCAGUGAGUUAAAUAAAGUACAGCAAUCAUGGCAAGUGUCACUUCAAAGAGGUGAUGCUACUGUCACUCAUUUCUAUAAUGUGGAGUAAGGGUGGGCACCGGCAGGGCUAGGUACAUAGGACAAGAAGAAUCCUCUUGCCCCACAUCAUUCAAGGCUCUGCAGAUUUGAUAAAGGAAUUUAAAAAGGUAUUUGGAGUGUUCUCCUGAGAAGGUGGGAAAUAUGGUUUUAAGCCCUUUGCACCAUCAUUGUUGUAACUCUGCAUAACAGAGACUGGCACACUUCUCCAUGACUGAGGGGCAGACAGCACUUCUACCACUCACAAACAUCAGCUACUCACAAGAGCUGAUUUAGUCACCUAUAUCCACAGUGAGCAGCUGAACUUUGGCACUGCAGACACACACAGCAGGUAUUCCUGUCUGGGUGAAGGUCACAUUGCUAGCAUAUUACACUACUUCGUUUAAACAGCUGCAGUAGGUGGGGAAUAAUCAAUGGUUUGACAUCAAACAUUUAACACAUUUUUGAGUGCUCUUAUAGAAAAAAAAUUAUAAGAAGAGUGCUUUUGAAAGAAU
rnacentral:lncRNA from 1 species